rnacentral:rRNA from 1 species
AGUAAAUAGAUACCCUGGUAGUCCCAGCUGUAAACGAUGCGCGUUAGGUGUAUCGGUGACCACGAGUCACCGAGGUGCCGAAAGGGAAACCGUGAAACGUGCCGCCUGGGAAGUACGGUCGCAAGGCUGAAACUUAAAGGAAUUGGCGGGGGAGCACCACAACAGGUGGAGCCUGCGGUUUAAAUCGGACUCAACGCCGGGAAGCUCACCGGAUAAGACAGCUGAAUGAUAGCCGGGUUGAAGGCUCUGCUUGACUAGCUGAGAGGAGGUGCAUGGCCGUCGUCAGUUCGUACUGUGAAGCAUCCUGUUAAGUCAGGCAACGAGCGAGACCCACGCCAACAGUUGCCAGCAUGUCCUCCGGGAUGGUGGGGACACUGUUGGGACCGCCUCUGCUAAAGAGGAGGAAGGAAUGGGCAACGGUAGGUCAGCAUGCCCCGAAUUAUCCGGGCUACACGCGGGCUACAAUGGUCAGGACAAUGGGUAUCAACACCGAAAGGUGAAGGCAAUCUCCUAAACCUGUCCUUAGUUCGGAUUGUGGG